UUUGUAUUACCUCCGUUUCAUAAUUUUUGUCUUAAAUUUGUCUAAAAAUGGAUGUAUCUAUUUAAUACGUCUAGAUACAUUAAUAUUUCGACAAGAAUUAUGAAACGGAGGAAGUAAUUU
rnacentral:pre_miRNA from 1 species